UUCGUCAGGUGUAUUCGGAACAUUCGAAGAUCCAAUAGCAGUCUGUUCUUCACUAUUUGUUUCUUCCGAACUUGAAGUAUUUUGAUCAAUACUUGGAUCUUGCAAUCUUCUUCUAGGCAUUUUAUCUACAAUACAUAUAAAAUAGUUGAAAUUUUAGUAACUAAUUACAACAAUAAUAGUACAUAUAAAAUAAUUGAAAUAUUUAAUAAGACCAAGAUUUAAAUUAUGAUAUUACAUAUAAUUAAAAAAUCGUAAAAUCUUACAACAUACCUUCCAUGUCAUCUUCUUUAACAGACUGAUGGUAAGCACUAUGAGGAUAAGCCGGAUUAAUCGUUGAAGGGGUUCUACUAGGUGGGCACUCUCCAUGGAAAAACCAUUUUUUAUACCCCCGAAUAAACCCAUCAACAAUUAGAUGUUCGUAGACAACUUUACGAAAAUGCCAAUUGAUGUUGACACACUUAUUACACGGGCAAAAAAUCAUAUUCUCUUGGCUUGUAUUUUGAAAUGCAAAAUUUAGAAAAGUUUGUACUCCAUUUCGAUAGUCGUUGCUUACCCUUGACAAAUUAAUCCAAGUCCUAUCCAUUUCGUAGUUCUUGAAGCCUAAAGUUGACAAUAAAUUACACGAGUAAAUUGUUUAUUUAUAAGUAUAAUUAAGUUAUGUAAAUUAUGAUAUGAUAUAUAUUCAUGUAUUAUGUAAGUUAUGUGAGUUAUGUAAGUUAUGAUAUUUAUUUUAAAAGUUUUAUAUAUCCCUUUGUUCUCAUAUAUUCUACUUUUGAACUUGAUUGUCUAUCUUUUUGCUUUCCAUUCACUAUACAAUUUAAUCUAUGAAAUUUCAAAGAAACAGAAAAGGAUAUAGGUCUAUGCAAUAUAUAUGCCAAAUGAAAUCAAGCAAGGAAAUCAUGAACUAACAAUGAAGCAAUAGUUUACUUACCACACCAAAAGAAAGGUAAUGAGGUAGUAAACUGUAUUCAGUAGCCCAUAAGACAACACCCCAGAAAUUCCAUAUUGUCUCGAUUUCUUCAGCACACUGAGAUAGCAAAACAAAUGCAAAAAAAAUUUAGUGGACAAUUUAUCAAACAAAGUGCCUUUCAAAUCAAAUUCAAUAUAAACACAAAGUCGGCUAUAUCAAAAACAACAUCAACAGAUGACAUGCAAUUAUCCAUUUCCAAAGAGACUGAAACUAAAUAAAGGGUCCAUAUCAGUAGUAACAUAAACAGCUAAAAAUAUGACAUGGGAAAAUAUUCCAUGAACAUAUUAUGUGCUCAAGUACAUUCGUUACAGAUUACAAGCCAGUGAGAAAUUUAAACUGUGAGACACAGAAAAUGGCAACACAGACCAGUAUUCAGGUUGCAAAAUGAACGAAUGCCUGUCGAAGAAAGUUAAAUUAGUGAAUUUAAUCAAAGCAUUAAAGGAUAGUCAUCCAAGAGACAUUAUUUGAGAAACAGUUCAAACAAAGGGAUUCAUAGCUGAUGAAUCAUUUUGCACUCUGCCAACAACAAAGAAAAAGGAAAUCGUUAGGGAUUCAAGCAGCUUAAAGAUUUUUAUCUUGGGGGAAAUGCUCAAAAUAGUACAGCAAAGAUCAUGCUCAAAGAGAAACAGUCAAUCCAAAUACCAUUAAUUAUACACUAUAGAAAGAGAAAUCCCAUUCCUUUCCUCCAUUCCUAUAUUGCAACAUGAACAUGCAUUAAUCAAUCACCAAACCAAAUGCAGAUAUAGGGAAACACAAACAAAAACCUGAAGAAUCCCACACUAGUGAAACACAUAAAAACUGUUGAUAACAUCAAAGAACAACAUCUAAUAACAGGAUCAACAACCCCAGAUCUUCUUUUUAUACAAAAAGAUCACCAUUCAGAGCUGAUUCAGAAACAGGAAAGCAACUAAAACAACAAGUCAUACCAAAGAAAACAUUUACAUAGUGAAGAAGAAAAUCUGAACUAACAUAAAAGAUCACAGUAAAAAAAAAAAAAAAACGAUAACAUCGAAGGUACAUACAAGAACCCAACAAUCAUAAGUAAAAUUCUGAUAUGAUCCCAUAUCUAAAAACAUUAACUUGUUGACAAAACAGGUAGUUAAAGGAACAAAUAACAAGAACAAAAGAAAAAAGAAACGAAAUUUAAGAACCAAAAAGAGAGAGCAAACGAGAAAAAAGAAGGGAGAUUUAAAAUGAUAAACUUAACCUUCCCCAGGGAAGAAGAAAAGUUCUGAAUCGUUAAAAUUAAAUGUGAAAGAAGGAAGCUAAGGAAAUGGGUAGUUAUGUUUUGCAUUGCUUCGUAGCUAUUCCCAAACAAAACAUUUAUAUCCAUCGAAAAAUAACACCAACAUAAACAGGAAAACUAAACAAAAAGAAGCAGCACUUGGUCUUUGAGUUUUGACACUAAAAUCUCAAGAACUGUAUCUAUAAAGAGAGAUUGAAGAGUGGAAGAUGAUACCUGGGUCGAAGAGAUAUUAGGCUUUGUUUUGUUUCAUAUGGAGUGGAGAAAAG
rnacentral:lncRNA from 1 species